rnacentral:tRNA from 1 species
GAUGUAGCUCAGUUGGUAGAGUGUUUACCUUGCUUACACAAGGCCCUGGGUUCAAUUCCCAGUAUC